AACGAACGCUGGCGGCAGGCCUAACACAUGCAAGUCGAGCGCGCCCUUCGGGGUGAGCGGCGGACGGGUGAGUAACGCGUGGGAACGUGCCCUUCUCUGCGGAAUAGCCUCGGGAAACUGAGAGUAAUACCGCAUACGCCCUUUGGGGGAAAGAUUUAUCGGAGAAGGAUCGGCCCGCGUUGGAUUAGGUAGUUGGUGGGGUAAUGGCCCACCAAGCCGACGAUCCAUAGCUGGUUUGAGAGGAUGAUCAGCCACACUGGGACUGAGACACGGCCCAGACUCCUACGGGAGGCAGCAGUGGGGAAUCUUAGACAAUGGGGGCAACCCUGAUCUAGCCAUGCCGCGUGAGUGAUGAAGGCCUUAGGGUUGUAAAGCUCUUUCAGCUGGGAAGAUAAUGACGGGACCAGCAGAAGAAGCCCCGGCUAACUCCGU
rnacentral:rRNA from 1 species